AGACUGAACACUGGGUCCACUCAAAUUAGGAAGUUGAGCAGGGGAGGAGGAAUCAGCAAAGAUGGUUGCAGAGGAGUCCCCAGAGAGGCAGGAGGAAAACCAAGGAAGUGCCCACUUCACAGAAUCAAGGAGGCUUUCAAAAAGGGUGGCAUGAUUAUGGUGUUAAAUGCCACCAAAGAGUAAAGCAAGCUGCCUCGUUUUCAGUUGUGCACAUCUGAAUGCAAGCAAUCCCUGUCUGAUGUGGAGUUUCUUGCACUGAUAAGGAAAAACUGCUGAAGUUGUGAGGCUGCUCCAGGCAGAGCCAUCAUCUAACAGACCUAAAAGAAGCAUCAUGUUCCAUGACUUCAUUUCACCCCAGGGGACUUCAAGCUGCCCGUGCCCAGAAGUUCAAGAGUAAAAGGCCACGGAGUAACAGUGAUUGUUUUCAGGAAGAGGAUCUGAGGCAGGGUUUUCAGUGGAGCAGAGGAAGAGCCUCCCUUUUGGGGCAGCCUCAUCUUACUUGAACUUGGAGAAGCUGGGUGAAGGCUCUUAUGCGACAGUUUAC
rnacentral:lncRNA from 10 species